GACGAACGCUGGCGGCGUGCCUAAUACAUGCAAGUCGAACGAGAGCACCCGGUGCUUGCACUGGUCAAUCUAGUGGCGAACGGGUGAGUAACACGUGGGUAACCUGCCCAUCAGAGGGGGAUAACAUCCGGAAACGGAUGCUAAAACCGCAUAGGUCUUCGAACCGCAUGGUUUGAAGAGGAAAAGAGGCGCAAGCUUCUGCUGAUGGAUGGACCCGCGGUGCAUUAGCUAGUUGGUGAGGUAACGGCUCACCAAGGCCGUGAUGCAUAGCCGACCUGAGAGGGUGAUCGGCCACAUUGGGACUGAGACACGGCCCAAACUCCUACGGGAGGCAGCAGUAGGGAAUCUUCCGCAAUGGACGCAAGUCUGACGGAGCAACGCCGCGUGAGUGAAGAAGGUUUUCGGAUCGUAAAACUCUGUUGUUAGAGAAGAACAAGUGCUAGAGUAACUGUUAGCGCCUUGACGGUAGCUAACCAGAAAGCCACGGCUAACUACGUG
rnacentral:rRNA from 1 species